rnacentral:rRNA from 1 species
UAACCGGAGAAUAGCCCGAAGAAAUUCGGAUUAAUACUCCAUAAAGUCAAUUUAAGGCAUCUUUUAUUGAUUAAAGCUCCGGCGGUUAGAGAUGGGCAUGCGUGUCAUUAGCUAGUUGGUGAGGUAACGGCUCACCAAGGCCACGAUGACUAGGGGGUCUGAGAGGAUGAUCCCCCACACUGGUACUGAGACACGGACCAGACUCCUACGGGAGGCAGCAGUGAGGAAUAUUGGGCAAUGGACGCAAGUCUGACCCAGCCAUGCCGCGUGCAGGAUGACUGCCCUAUGGGUUGUAAACUGCUUUUGUUUGGGAAGAAACCCCCGAUCGUGAUCGGGGCUGACGGUACCAUACGAAUAAGCAUCGGCUAACUCCGUGCCAGCAGCCGCGGUAAUACGGAGGAUGCAAGCGUUAUCCGGAUUCACUGGGUUUAAAGGGUGCGCAGGCGGAAUAUUAAGUCAGUGGUGAAAUCCUGCAGCUUAACUGUAGAACUGCCAUUGAUACUGAUAUUCUUGAAUAUAGUUGAGGUGGGCGGAAUGUGUAAUGUAGCGGUGAAAUGCUUAGAUAUUACACAGAACACCAAUUGCGAAGGCAGCUCACUAAACUAAUAUUGACGCUGAGGCACGAAAGCGUGGGUAGCAAACAGGAUUAGAUACCCUGGUAGUCCACGCUGUAAACUAUGAUCACUCGCUGUUGGCAAUACAUCGUCAGCGGCUGAGCGAAAGCAUUAAGUGAUCCACCUGGGGAGUACGGUCGCAAGAUUGAAACUCAAAGGAAUUGACGGGGGCCCGCACAAGCGGAGGAACAUGUGGUUUAAUUCGAUGAUACGCGAGGAACCUUACCUGGGCUUAAAUGCAGAGCGACGUCCGCCGAAAGGUGGAUUCCUUCGGGCGAUCUGCAAGGUGCUGCAUGGUUGUCGUCAGCUCGUGCCGUGAGGUGUCGGGUUAAGUCCCAUAACGAG